GAUGAACGCUGGCGGCGUGCCUAAUACAUGCAAGUCGAGCGAACGGACGAGAAGCUUGCUUCUCUGAUGUUAGCGGCGGACGGGUGAGUAACACGUGGAUAACCUACCUAUAAGACUGGGAUAACUUCGGGAAACCGGAGCUAAUACCGGAUAAUAUUUUGAACCGCGUGGUUCAAAAGUGAAAGACGGUCUUGCUGUCACUUAUAGAUGGAUCCGCGCUGCAUUAGCUAGUUGGUAAGGUAACGGCUUACCAAGGCAACGAUGCAUAGCCGACCUGAGAGGGUGAUCGGCCACACUGGAACUGAGACACGGUCCAGACUCCUACGGGAGGCAGCAGUAGGGAAUCUUCCGCAAUGGGCGAAAGCCUGACGGAGCAACGCCGCGUGAGUGAUGAAGGUCUUCGGAUCGUAAAACUCUGUUAUUAGGGAAGAACAUAUGUGUAAGUAACUGUGCACAUCUUGACGGUACCUAAUCAGAAAGCCACGGCUAACUACGUGCCAGCAGCCGCGGUAAUACGUAGGUGGCAAGCGUUAUCCGGAAUUAUUGGGCGUAAAGCGCGCGUAGGCGGUUUUUUAAGUCUGAUGUGAAAGCCCACGGCUCAACCGUGGAGGGUCAUUGGAAACUGGAAAACUUGAGUGCAGAAGAGGAAAGUGGAAUUCCAUGUGUAGCGGUGAAAUGCGCAGAGAUAUGGAGGAACACCAGUGGCGAAGGCGACUUUCUGGUCUGUAACUGACGCUGAUGUGCGAAAGCGUGGGGAUCAAACAGGAUUAGAUACCCUGGUAGUCCACGCCGUAAACGAUGAGUGCUAAGUGUUAGGGGGUUUCCGCCCCUUAGUGCUGCAGCUAACGCAUUAAGCACUCCGCCUGGGGAGUACGACCGCAAGGUUGAAACUCAAAGGAAUUGACGGGGACCCGCACAAGCGGUGGAGCAUGUGGUUUAAUUCGAAGCAACGCGAAGAACCUUACCAAAUCUUGACAUCCUUUGACAACUCUAGAGAUAGAGCUUUCCCCUUCGGGGGACAAAGUGACAGGUGGUGCAUGGUUGUCGUCAGCUCGUGUCGUGAGAUGUUGGGUUAAGUCCCGCAACGAGCGCAACCCUUAAGCUUAGUUGCCAUCAUUAAGUUGGGCACUCUAAGUUGACUGCCGGUGACAAACCGGAGGAAGGUGGGGAUGACGUCAAAUCAUCAUGCCCCUUAUGAUUUGGGCUACACACGUGCUACAAUGGACAAUACAAAGGGCAGCGAAACCGCGAGGUCAAGCAAAUCCCAUAAAGUUGUUCUCAGUUCGGAUUGUAGUCUGCAACUCGACUACAUGAAGCUGGAAUCGCUAGUAAUCGUAGAUCAGCAUGCUACGGUGAAUACGUUCCCGGGUCU
rnacentral:rRNA from 1 species